rnacentral:rRNA from 1 species
GACGAACGCUGGCGGCGUGCCUAAUACAUGCAAGUCGAACGCAGUGGGGACGGGUGCGUAACACGUGGGUAACCUCCCAUCAGAGGGGAUAACACUUGGAAACAGGUGCUAAACCGAUACUGAUGGAUGGACCCGCGGUGCAUUAGCUGGAUGGUGGGGUAACGGCUCACCAAGGCCACGAGUCAUAGCCGACCUGAGAGGGUGAUCGGCCACACUGGGACUGAGACACGGCCCAGACUCCUACGGGAGGCAGCAGUAGGGAAUCUUCGGCAAUGGACGAAAGUCUGACCGAGCAACGCCGCGUGAGUGAAGAAGGUUUUCGGAUCGUAAAACUCUGUCGGUAGAGAAGCGGUAUCUAACCAGAAAGCCACGGCUAACUACGUGCCAGCAGCCGCGGUAAUUC